CUGCUAUCACUCUUGGGAUGGGACCUGCGGUGCAUUAGCUAGUUGGUAGGGGUAACGGGCCUACCAAGGCGAUGAUGCAUAGCCCGAGUUGAGAGACUGAUCGGGCCACAUUGGGGACUGAGACACGGGACCCAAAACUCCGUACGGGGAGGCAGCAGUAGGGAAUCUUCCACAAUGGACGCAAGUCUGAUGGAGACAACGCCGCGUGAGUGAAGUAAGGGUUUCGGCUACGUAAAGCUCUGUUGUUGGUGAAGAAGGACGAGGGGUAGUAACUGACCUUUGUUUGACGGUAAUCAAUUAGAAGUCACGGCUAACUACGUGCCAGCAGCCGCGGUAAU
rnacentral:rRNA from 1 species